GGUUGUCGUCAGCUCGUGCCGUGAGGUGUCGGGUUAAGUCCCAUAACGAGCGCAACCCUUACCGUUAGUUGCCAUCGGGUCAAGCCGGGGACUCUAGCGGGACUGCCACCGUAAGGUGAGAGGAAGGUGGGGAUGACGUCAAAUCAGCACGGCCCUUAUGUCCAGGGCUACACACGUGUUACAAUGGCCGGUACAGAGGGCAGCUACCUGGUGACAGGAUGCUAAUCCCGAAAGCCGGUCCCAGUUCGGAUUGGAGUCUGCAACCCGACUCCAUGAAGUUGGAUUCGCUAGUAAUCGCGCAUCAGCCAUGGCGCGGUGAAUACGUUCCCGGGCCUU
rnacentral:rRNA from 1 species